rnacentral:rRNA from 1 species
AUUGAACGCUGGCGGCAGGCCUAACACAUGCAAGUCGAGCGGAUGAAGGGAGCUUGCUCCUGGAUUCAGCGGCGGACGGGUGAGUAAUGCCUAGGAAUCUGCCUGGUAGUGGGGGACAACGUUUCGAAAGGAACGCUAAUACCGCAUACGUCCUACGGGAGAAAGCAGGGGACCUUCGGGCCUUGCGCUAUCAGAUGAGCCUAGGUCGGAUUAGCUAGUUGGUAAGGUAAUGGCUCACCAAGGCGACGAUCCGUAACUGGUCUGAGAGGAUGAUCAGUCACACUGGAACUGAGACACGGUCCAGACUCCUACGGGAGGCAGCAGUGGGGAAUAUUGGACAAUGGGCGAAAGCCUGAUCCAGCCAUGCCGCGUGUGUGAAGAAGGUCUUCGGAUUGUAAAGCACUUUAAGUUGGGAGGAAGGGUUGUAGAUUAAUACUCUGCAAUUUUGACGUUACCGACAGAAUAAGCACCGGCUAACUCUGUGCCAGCAGCCGCAGUAAAAC